rnacentral:rRNA from 1 species
UACGGGGGGGGCAAGCGUUGUUCGGAAUUACUGGGCGUAAAGGGCUCGUAGGCGGCCAACUAAGUCGGACGUGAAAUCCCUCGGCUUAACCGGGGAACUGCGUCCGAUACUGGAUGGCUUGAGUUUGGGAGAGGGAUGCGGAAUUCCAGGUGUAGCGGUGAAAUGCGUAGAUAUCGGAAGGAACACCAGUGGCGAAAGCGGCUUCCUGGUCCAGCACCGACGUUCAGGCACGAAAGCGUGGGGAGCAAACAGG